rnacentral:rRNA from 1 species
UACAGAGGUCCCAAGCGUUGUUCGGAUUCAUUGGGCGUAAAGGGCCAGUAGGCGGCCAACUAAGUCGGAUGUGAAAUCCCCAGGCUCAACUUGGGAACUGCAUCCGAUACUGGAUGGCUUGAAUUCGGGAGAGGGAUGCAGAAUUCCAGGUGUAGCGGUGAAAUGCGUAGAUAUCUGGAGGAAUACCGGUGGCGAAGGCGGCAUCCUGGACCGACAUUGACGCUGAACGGCGAAAGCUAGGGGAGCAAACGGG